rnacentral:RNase_P_RNA from 3 species
ACCGCAGACCGCCUUAUCGUCGUUCCGAUGAAUAAUCGGGAGGGAGGAAAGUCCGGACACCAUAGAGCAGCAUAGCGGGUAACGCCCGUCCGUUUCGUCUUUUGGGACGAGAUGAGGACAAGUGCAACAGAAAGUAUGUACAGGUAAUGCUGUAGUGAAACCAGGUAAACUCUAUGCGGUGAAAUGCCAAGUAUAUCAGCAGCUUCCGGUUCGCCGGAAUAAGGGCGGCUCGUCCGAUGCUGAAGGGUAGGCAGAUUGAUCUUGUUGGCAACAACUAGACUAGAUAAAUGAUAAGGGUCAACUUCGGUUGAUACAGAAUCCGGCUUACAGGUCUGCUUUUUUU